rnacentral:rRNA from 1 species
GCAGUCGAGCGAAUGGAUUAAGAGCUUGCUCUUAUGAAGUUAGCGGCGGACGGGUGAGUAACACGUGGGUAACCUGCCCAUAAGACUGGGAUAACUCCGGGAAACCGGGGCUAAUACCGGAUAACAUUUUGAACCGCAUGGUUCGAAAUUGAAAGGCGGCUUCGGCUGUCACUUAUGGAUGGACCCGCGUCGCAUUAGCUAGUUGGUGAGGUAACGGCUCACCAAGGCAACGAUGCGUAGCCGACCUGAGAGGGUGAUCGGCCACACUGGGACUGAGACACGGCCCAGACUCCUACGGGAGGCAGCAGUAGGGAAUCUUCCGCAAUGGACGAAAGUCUGACGGAGCAACGCCGCGUGAGUGAUGAAGGCUUUCGGGUCGUAAAACUCUGUUGUUAGGGAAGAACAAGUGCUAGUUGAAUAAGCUGGCACCUUGACGGUACCUAACCAGAAAGCCACGGCUAACUACGUGCCAGCAGCCGCGGUAAUACGUAGGUGGCAAGCGUUAUCCGGAAUUAUUGGGCGUAAAGCGCGCGCAGGUGGUUUCUUAAGUCUGAUGUGAAAGCCCACGGCUCAACCGUGGAGGGUCAUUGGAAA